rnacentral:rRNA from 1 species
AGUGAACGCUGGCGGUAGGCCUAACACAUGCAAGUCGAACGGCAGCACAGUAAGAGCUUGCUCUUACGGGUGGCGAGUGGCGGACGGGUGAGGAAUACAUCGGAAUCUACUUUUUCGUGGGGGAUAACGUAGGGAAACUUACGCUAAUACCGCAUACGACCUACGGCUGAAAGCAGGGGAUCUUCGGACCUUGCGCGAUUGAAUGAGCCGAUGUCGGAUUAGCUAGUUGGCGGGGUAAAGGCCCACCAAGGCGACGAUCCGUAGCUGGUCUGAGAGGAUGAUCGGCCACACUGGAACUGAGACACGGUCCAGACUCCUACGGGAGGCAGCAGUGGGGAAUAUUGGGCAAUGGGCGCAAGCCUGAUCCAGCCAUACCGCGUGGGUGAAGAAGGCCUUCGGGUUGUAAAGCCCUUUUGUUGGGAAAGAAAAGCAGCAGGUUAAUACGCCGCUGUUCUGACGGUACCCAAAGAAUAAGCACCGGCUAACUUCGUG